rnacentral:ncRNA from 1 species
UCCUGACUGCGAAAGCAGACUUAACCCAAGACAGGAGACUAUAAUG